rnacentral:tRNA from 1 species
UCCCCAGUGGCGCAAUUGGUUAGCGCGCGGUACUUAUAAUGCCGAGGUUGAGUUCGAUCCUCACCUGGGGAA